ensembl:snRNA U6 U6 spliceosomal RNA
GCACUCACUUUGGCAGUACAUAUACUAAAAUUAAAACAAUAAAGAGAUUAGCAUGGUCUGUGUGCAAGGAUGACAUGCAAAUUCGUGAAGCCUUCCAUAUUUUU